UUGAGCCUCGGAUGAACCGAUUCCGACGACUACUUGGCAUGGCUAUAUUCUGAGGCACAAAAUUGGAAAAAUUACGACGCUAAGAAGAUGGAAAGUGCCGAUGUUGUGUGAGCCUUAGCCGUGCUUGUAUGUGUGCCGUGCUGCCCGCUAUCUCGCUGCCCGCCAACCGCCGCACCGACUUGCACAGGUCAAACAUUUAUUUCAUCUUUAGAAGUGUAUCUGUGUGGACCAGUGUCGAAACUGUUUCUAAUGGUUCAAUAAUAACGUGACUUUUACCAGAA